rnacentral:rRNA from 1 species
UACGGGGGGGGCAAGCGUUGUUCGGAAUUACUGGGCGUAAAGGGUGCGUAGGCGGCGCGGUAAGUCGGGUGUGAAAUCUCGGGGCUUAGCUCCGAAACUGCAUUCGAUACUGCCGUGCUUGAGGACUGGAGAGGAGACUGGAAUUUACGGUGUAGCGGUGAAAUGCGUAGAUAUCGUAAGGAAGACCAGUGGCGAAGGCGGGUCUCUGGACAGUUCCUGACGCUGAGGCACGAAGGUCAGGGGGGCAAACGGG